GUGAACGCUGGCGGUAGGCCUAACACAUGCAAGUCGAACGGCAGCACAGUAAGAGCUUGCUCUUACGGGUGGCGAGUGGCGGACGGGUGAGGAAUACAUCGGAAUCUACUUUUUCGUGGGGGAUAACGUAGGGAAACUUACGCUAAUACCGCAUACGACCUACGGGUGAAAGCAGGGGAUCUUCGGACCUUGCGCGAUUGAAUGAGCCGAUGUCGGAUUAGCUAGUUGGCGGGGUAAAGGCCCACCAAGGCGACGAUCCGUAGCUGGUCUGAGAGGAUGAUCAGCCACACUGGAACUGAGAAACGGUCCAGACUCCUACGGGAGGCAGCAGUGGGGAAUAUUGGACAAUGGGCGCAAGCCUGAUCCAGCCGUACCGCGUGGGUGAAGAAGGCCUUCGGGUUGUAAAGCCCUUUUGUUGGGAAAGAAAAGCAGCAGGUUAAUACCCCGCUGUUCUGACGGUACCCAAAGAAUAAGCACCGGCUAACUUCGUG
rnacentral:rRNA from 1 species